rnacentral:tRNA from 1 species
ACCUGGAUGGUUCAGUCGGUUGGGCAUCUGACUUCAGCUCAGAUCAUGAUCUCAUGGUCUGUGGGUUCGUGCCCCACUUCUGGCU